AAUGAACGCUGGCGGCGUGCCUAACACAUGCAAGUCGAACGAGGCGGAGGGGGUAACGUCCCUCCAGUCGAGUGGCGGACGGGUGGAGUAAACACGUGGGUAACCGUGCCCGGAAGGUGGGGAAGUACCUCGGGGAAACGUACGAGCUAAUGCCGCAUGAAAUCUCCGGGACGAAAGUCCUGAUGAUCAAAGCGGGGUCGCAA
rnacentral:rRNA from 1 species